rfam:Schistosoma mansoni, Puerto Rico, WGS project CABG01000000 data, contig: 0094
AUCCAGGUGACGAGUCCCAAAUAGGACGAAACGCGCGUCCUGGAU